rnacentral:rRNA from 1 species
GAACGAACGCUGGCGGCAGGCCUAACACAUGCAAGUCGAACGGAUCCUUCGGGAUUAGUGGCAGACGGGUGAGUAACGCGUGGGAAGCUACCUUGUGGUAGGGAACAACAGUUGGAAACGACUGCUAAUACCCUAUGAGCCCUAUGGGGGAAAGAUUUAUCGCCAUGAGAUGUGCCCGCGUUAGAUUAGCUAGUUGGUAAGGUAAUGGCUUACCAAGGCGACGAUCUAUAGCUGGUCUGAGAGGAUGAUCAGCCACACUGGGACUGAGACACGGCCCAGACUCCUACGGGAGGCAGCAGUGGGGAAUAUUGGACAAUGGGGGCAACCCUGAUCCAGCCAUGCCGCGUGAGUGAUGACGGCCUUAGGGUUGUAAAGCUCUUUCAGCAGUGAAGAUAAUGACAUUAACUGCAGAAGAAGCCCCGGCUAACUUCGUGCCAGCAGCCGCGGUAAUACGAAGGGGGCUAGCGUUGUUCGGAAUCACUGGGCGUAAAGCGUACGUAGGCGGACUGAUCAGUCAGGGGUGAAAUCCCGGGGCUCAACCCCGGAACUGCCUUUGAUACUGUCAGUCUUGAGAUCGAGAGAGGUGAGUGGAACUCCGAGUGUAGAGGUGAAAUUCGUAGAUAUUCGGAAGAACACCAGUGGCGAAGGCGGCUCACCUGGCUCCGAWACCUGAC